CGGAAAUGAUGAAAUGGAGAUUGGGUGUUGAAUGUUGUGUGAUUGGAAAUUUUUAGUAUGUAAAUUUAAUAAUUCGUAAAUGCUAGAGUGUAUGGAGAGAGAGAGAGAGAGAGAGAGAGAGAGAGAGAGAGAGAGAGAGUGUGCGCGCGUGCGCUCGUGGGGGGGGGGGAGGCUGCAGAAAGGGGGCACUGACCGGUGCUGCUGAUAUUGGAGUGCAUCUGAGGCUGUUGUAGACACAACACUGCCGAUGAUUAUAACCCAAAAAACAGCUCACCUAAGUAGCCUCACACCCUAAGAUCUCUAACAGGUUCCUUAACGUGGUCCUGUGAUCUGAUCCGA